CCUACGGGAGGCAGCAGUAAGGAAUAUUGGACAAUGCUCGCAAGAGUGAUCCAGCCAUGCCGCGUGCAGGAAGACGGCCCUAUGGGUUGUAAACUGCUUUUGAACUAGAGAAAACCCUCCUACGUGUAGGAGGCUGAUAGUAUAGUUAGAAUAAGCAUCGGCUAACUUCGUGCCAGCAGCCGCGGUAAGACGAAGGAUGCAAGCGUUAUCCGGAUUCAUUGGGUUUAAAGGGAGCGUAGGUGGACUGAUAAGUCAGUGGUGAAAUCUCUCGGCUUAACCGAGAAAUUGCCAUUGAUACUGUUGGUCUUGAGUACAGUUGCUGUGGGCGGAAUAUGACAUGUAGUGGUGAAAUACAUAGAGAUGUCAUAGAACACCGAUUGCGAAGGCAGCUCACAAAGCUGUAACUGACACUGAGGCUCGAAAGUGCGGGGAUCAAACAGGAUUAGAUACCCUGGUAGUCCGCACCGUAACGAUGAUUACUCGCUGCUGGGAGGUAACUUUCAGUGGCUUAGCGAAAGGNGAUAAGUACNCCGACCGUGGAGGUACGCCGCGACGUAGACGACGAGUAGAGUUAGAGGNGNGAGACGCGCGACGACGACGACGAGGGAGGAGG
rnacentral:rRNA from 1 species